CUUUACUGUAGCUUUGCAUUGGACUUUGAACCGGUCUGUGUAGGAUAGGUGGGAGGCUUUGAAGCUCGGACGCUAGUUCGAGUGGAGCCGCCCUUGAAAUACCACCCUGGUUUGUUUGAGGUUCUAACCAUGGCCUGUGAAUCCAGGUCUGGGACCGUGCAUGGUAGGCAGUUUGACUGGGGCGGUCUCCUCCCAAAGAGUAACGGAGGAGUACGAAGGUACGCUAGGUACGGUCGGACAUCGUGCUAAUAGUGCAAUGGCAUAAGCGUGCUUGACUGCGAGACCCACAAGUCGAGCAGGUACGAAAGUAGGUCAGAGUGAUCCGGUGGUUCUGUAUGGAAGGGCCAUCGCUCAACGGAUAAAAGGUA
rnacentral:rRNA from 1 species